rnacentral:sRNA from 1 species
GCACGGCAACGAGCGACCCUUGUUCAAAAAAGAGGACAUCUAUCGUUGGCAAGAUAGUUUUCCAGAGUAUCGACUGAAAUUGAUUUGUCUGAAAGACACGACAAGGGUCAUUGCAGUCGGUGCGUAUUGUUACUACAAUGCUCUGAAAGAAGGGGAUAAACCAUUGUUUUUCCUGGGAUUUGGAUGGACGGAUCCUGAGUAUCGUACUAGGGCGGUUAUGGAGCUUCAAGCUUCGAUGGCGAUCGAGGAGAGGGAUCGGUAUCCGCCUGCCAACGCGGCUUCGCAUCCAAGUAAGUACCAGUUUGAAUUAUAGGGCAGCGUCACGUGAAAAUAUAGUGUACUUCUCUUAUUUGGCCUCAGAUAAGCUGAACCACGCAGGAGGGGCUGGUAGGCUCCUGCGUGGUUCAGUUUAUCUGAGCUCUAGGAGCAGCUUCCGUUUCACAAGCUAUGACGUCGCGGAGGCUUAAGAGAGUGUAAAACAAAAUUUAUGAGACGUCACAUUUCCUAGAAACAACGGCUUAGAAAGAGGCUAUAUGACAAAAAGACACGAGUUCAGGAGUAGGUUCUGGCAAACCUGACGUCCGGUUUUUCAAAUAUUUUUUUGGCUUUUCAUACCACGAACGUCAAAAAUUAUUAUCUCCCUGGUUCAGUGUUACGUUAGCUGGUUAAAAUAAAUAUUUCUUUCUACUUUUCAGACAAGUUCAUGAAGCGAUUCUGGCACAAGUUCAACGGCCUCGAAGAACAUGAGGACAAAGGUCACAAUGCUGUCGGUGCUGCAUACAAGAGUUUCUACGACCCCAAGGACAUGAUUAUUCCUGAAGAUCAGGAUUUUAGUGGUAUCACUGUAAAGGAUGCAAGAAAGGUGCCGAAAAAGGAUAUCAUCAACUACGAUCAAACUAUUCAUCCAUAUCAUCGUGAAAUGUUUAUAAUUUCUCACAUGUAUGAUAAGGAUGGGUUCGGAAAAGUUGCGUAUGAUGAAGAUGGAAAUGUGAUUGGAAUAGGUCAAGCGAUUGUCUAUCAAACCAAAAAAGACUGCAACCUUGGUCCAAUCUAUGCAGAUAAUCCACGUGUUGCUCAGGCUAUGUUUGCAUCAAUUCUGAAAGAUAUUAAAGCUUCUGCCACUGAAAUCGACCAUUAUGAGGUGCGAUCUUCACAACAGAGUCAAGAUUGUUUCCGGUGAGUUUUGAAGAGAUAAUGACUUCCAAAUUCAAAUGAUUUUUAUCUGGAUCGCUCCAUUCCUUAAGUGCAAGCCAAGUCGUGUCCACAUCGACAAUCUUUCGUACAGGUAUGAGAUCCCAGAUGGUGUUGAUUUUGCAAAGGUCUACAGUCCAAGUCAAGUGCAAAUGUUCCUUGUUUGAAAUUUUUAAAGUGAAAGAGAACUGAAUAAACUGGGAUUCGAAUUCUAGCAUUAAUAAUUCAUGUAAAUACUGUUAAAGUUUAGCGUGGUUUUUCAAGAAAUUGUUUCACGUUUUCGUGGCAGCCUCGAAAUAUUCGCGAAAUUGUUUUGUUUCCAAAAAAAAAUCAUUCCGGUUUCUUCAACUUAUUCUUUCCACAUCAAACUCAUCAUGUUGGCUUCUCGGGGUUUUUAUGGAUAUUCUAUAUUUUCCAAACGAUUCUUUGCGCCUUCUGUGGUGCCGCCUUCUCCGAAGGAACUGACGAAAAAUGACGUGGAUUUGCUGACAAAUCCAGGCGAGGAAUAUUUGGACGGAUUGAUGAAAUGG